CUCCAUCUGAUGCAAGUCACUGUUGGCUCCAUUAACUCUGCUGGAUCCCUGAAUUGAAGUGUCAACUUUUUCUUUCUUCUCUUUAUCAGUUUUAUAAUGUUACUUUUUAAAAUCAGAGCAUUCAGGACCAAGAUCUGAACAGCCUAUCUCCUGUAAAAAGCUCAAAAGACAAGACCCAAGCUGCCUCUCCUUAAAGUGCAUGCAACUCCAAGAAUGUUGUAAGAAGAAGAACUGAAAAGGACCUCAGGUUCACCUAUUCCAUUCCCCUAUCCACAGACUUUUGGGGGAGAUUGCUGCUGCAUCUAAWCAUUCCAUCAUCAUCUUCAACAAUUAGACCGUGAGGACUCUCUGUGCUUUGUGAUAGAUGAAUGAUCUCAAACAGCACGUGUGAAUGAACUGAAAGAUAUUUCAUUUUGUACAGUAAUUUCUAGAUUUCUAAAGGCAAUAAAAACAUUGAAAUGAUUA